rnacentral:rRNA from 1 species
GCUUAGUGUGGCCAAUUCACCCUGAAUGCACCCAAUCUCAUCAGAUGUCGAAAGCUAAGUGGGCUUGAGCCUGGUUGGCACUUGAAUGGGAGAUUGGCUUAGAAUGCUCGAGGUAUUAUAAGCU